GACGAACCGUGCGAACGUUAUUCGGAAUCACUGGGCUUAAAGGGCGCGUAGGCGGGUUCGUAAGUCAGGGGUGAAAUCCCACGGCCCAACCGUGGAAGUGCCUCUGAGACUGCGGACCUCGAGGGGGAUAGGGGCGUGCGGAACUCAGGGUGGAGCGGUGAAAUGCGUAGAUAUCCUGAGGAACACCGGUGGCGAAAGCGGCGCGCUGGAUCCCUACUGACGCUGAGGCGCGAAAGCCAGGGGAGCAAACGGG
rnacentral:rRNA from 1 species